CUCUGUACUCAUGCUUCUCCAGUCUGUGAACCAAAUUUAGAGAGGGCAAGUGUCAGCCCCUUUCCCUGAGAAGACCCUGAAUCUUGCGAAUGUUGGAACUACCAGUAGGCAUGGUCUCCACGUGAAGUAAGUACACGAUGGAAGCUUCAGGUGUUUUCAAUGGCUUGAUAGGAGCUGGCAUCCAGACAGAAGGAGAAAUGGAGAAAACGUUUGGGUGAUCUUUGAAACCACACAGCCAUCUGGUUGCUGUGGUCCAGCCGCCACACCCUGACUUCUCAGAAAGCACGUCUGUUUGUUGAAACCAUCUUGAUUCCGUUUUCCUAGCACUUUCAGUCAAACUGUUUUCCUUGCUGAGAGAAGAAAUUUUCCCCCAGAAACAGCCUUGCUAAAUCAGCUCUAAAGUUUUGUUGUAUUUCAAGAUUUGGAGAAUUUUCUUUGAUGCAUAAGCAUCCAUUUUAAUUGUUGAGAUCUGCAAAAAUUGGUGGCAAAAGCAGAAGUUGUUUCCUUCCAAGGACUGAAUUCCCCAUAUCCACAGUUACUUGUUAACAUUUAUAUCCUCUAUACAUCUGUGAGCUUCUUAAAGGCUUCCAAAAUGUGUUUGUUCUGCUGGGUUCAACGCCAGUGUUGCUCCUCAGGAUUUCACAAUGUCUUUGAUUGAGUUGUCCGGUGUUUCUCUUUCUUCCCUUCCCAGGAUCUUUCACUUCUCCACUCACUGCGGUGCCUACUUUGGACUCUGAUUCUCUCCCAGACGCUUCCACCCGGGAACUCACAGCAACCCCAAGCAGCUUUGUGGCUUUGGGAGAAAUGGCUCCUUGACGUGCUGUUGCGCCUCUCUUCAGAAACAAAGCUUCAAAUCUGGAGAGCAGCAGUGCAACUCCACAGAUAGACGGCUGAGUGGAGUUUCAGCGUCCUCUGGGAGAAGUGCUUGACAGAAUAAUUUUUCCUAAUAAGAACAAUGCUUAAAAAUUGAGCAUUCAAUCGUCCAAAGCAGAAAGCCAUAAAGGACUGACUUGGUGGUUCCUGGAUGAGAAAACUGGGGCUAAGUGUGUUUGAAGAAGGCAACCCUAUUCACUGGAAAAGCCAGCUCUGAACUCUACUCCAAAGACCUCUAGUUGGUGUACUUUCAGUCUGUUGUCUUCUUCUCUUGUACAUCCCAAAACAGCUAGCACAUAUCCUAUGGGUGUUUCUUUUGUUUCCUCAACCAGUUAAUGAGCCCUGAGAGUGAAGGCAAAGUAUCAGAGCUCCUCUUUUAUUUCCUGUAUUUCCUACCUAAUUUUUAAUAAAUGCCUUUUGGCCUAAUGAUAGAAUCUAAAUAACAGAUUUUUUCUGUUAUCUUUGUCAGCUAUGUGUAGGACCCUAUGUCCAAUUUGAGACAUGGGAGUAGACUAAAGAGCAAUAAACAUGAUGAACUGGAUGAAAAGUAAGAUCUUGAAGAUAGUUUAAGUACCUGAAAUCACAGUAGGGUGACUUGUGCAGCAUCUGCACUUGGACAUUUCCAUGACAGAUUUCAAGCUUCCUGAAGUUAGACAUGCAGUUUAGCACAAAGCAUGGCACAGGGUACUGUGAGAAAUCAAUAUCUGUUAAUGUAAUUAAUAUAAGAUUUUUACAAUACAUAUAGAACAUUUCUCCAUCCUUACUUUUAAGUCAUCAGAAUUCCCCAUUUUGUUAAUCAUAUGCUUUCCUGCCCCACAAGAUUAAAGUUUGGUGAUAGCAAAAACUGUGGAAGGUAGAGUGGACACACAUUGCCCUACAGAAUGGAUGACCUGCAAAAUUGGUAGCUGUGCUCCAUUUCUCAAAGGUCAAAGAACACUUGGCUGCCUCUGCAGAGCUGAGAAAACACACACUUCAUGGUACAGAUAAGAAUCCUUGAAACAGAGGUAGCUGGUUUCGUAACACAUAAACAGGCCUCUCAGUUACUCUUUGGCAAUGCAAGGACCUAGUCACAGGGCUGGAAUGUGAACUCCACGCUUUGGCUUUGUUAGUAUUUUGAACUCUAUCUAGUGGGGAAAACAUGUCAAAAAGGCAGAGAAAAUAAUUUUUAAAACUGCUCAUAACAGGAGUGUCAAUUGGUAAAGUCAACAACAGGAGUCACUGUGCACUUACUCCUCAUGUAGGAUCUCUAUCCUUAAUGUGCUGUACAUUGAGAUUUAAUGCUAUAACGAGUACUCAAACAAUAUAUUUCACUUUGUGUUUCUAUGGGGGUGCAAACUGUUGAAAUCCUUACUUAAUGCAUACUAAACUGAUCCUCUGUAAAAAAAAAAAAAAAAGAAAUUAUCAAUUCCCAACUUGACUCUCACUGGGAUUAAACAUGACAAUAGGUCUGCUCUGAUUUCAUCAUCAUUUUAAAAAAUCAUCUAUUAUUUUUCACUUUAUGUUUCUGUGUGGGAGCAAACUGUUGAAAUCCAUACUUAAUGUAUACUAAGCUGAUCUUCUGUAUAUUAAGAUAAUCGAAAAUG